CUCGGACCUUGUACACACCGCCCGUCACACCACGAAAGCUGUUUGUACCCGAAGUUGCCUUAGCUAACCUUAACCGGAGGCGGGUACCUAAGGUAUGGAGAGUGAUUGGGGUG
rnacentral:rRNA from 1 species